GUCUUCGUGGCUCAGUUGGCUAGAGCGUUGGUCUCAUAGAAAUAUGACCCAUUCUUCAAAGGAUUGGGAUAUCCAAAGGUCGUGAGUUCAAGCCUCACCGAGGACA
rnacentral:tRNA from 1 species